UCCCUGGUGGCUCAGACAGUAAAGCUUCUGUUUGCAAUGCAGGAGACCUGGGUUCGAUUCCUGGGUUGGGAA
rnacentral:tRNA from 1 species